UACGUAGGGUGCGAGCGUUAAUCGGAAUUACUGGGCGUAAAGCGUGCGCAGGCGGUUUUGUAAGCCAGAUGUGAAAUCCCCGGGCUUAACCUGGGAAUGGCAUUUGGGACUGCAAGGCUGGAGUGUGGCAGAGGAGACUGGAAUUCCUGGUGUAGCAGUGAAAUGCGUAGAUAUCAGGAGGAAGACCAGUGGCGAAGGCGGGUCUCUGGACAGUUCCUGACACUGAGGCACGAAGGCCAGGGGAGCAAACGGG
rnacentral:rRNA from 1 species